rnacentral:rRNA from 1 species
UUGAACGCUGGCGGCAUGCCUUACACAUGCAAGUCGAGCGGCAGCACGGGUGCUUGCACCUGGUGGCGAGUGGCGAACGGGUGAGUAAUACAUCGGAACAUGUCCUGUAGUGGGGGAUAGCCCGGCGAAAGCCGGAUUAAUACCGCAUACGAUCUACGGAUGAAAGCGGGGGACCUUCGGGCCUCGCGCUAUAGGGUUGGCCGAUGGCUGAUUAGCUAGUUGGUGGGGUAAAGGCCUACCAAGGCGACGAUCAGUAGCUGGUCUGAGAGGACGACCAGCCACACUGGGACUGAGACACGGCCCAGACUCCUACGGGAGGCAGCAGUGGGGAAUUUUGGACAAUGGGCGAAAGCCUGAUCCAGCAAUGCCGCGUGUGUGAAGAAGGCCUUCGGGUUGUAAAGCACUUUUGUCCGGAAAGAAAUCCUUGGCCCUAAUACGGUCGGGGGAUGACGGUACCGGAAGAAUAAGCACCGGCUAACUACGUG